rnacentral:rRNA from 1 species
GACGAACGCUGGCGGCGUGCUUAACACAUGCAAGUCGAACGGAAAGGCCCUGCUUUUGUGGGGUGCUCGAGUGGCGAACGGGUGAGUAACACGUGAGUAACCUGCCCUUGACUUUGGGAUAACUUCAGGAAACUGGGGCUAAUAACGGAUAGGAGCUCCUGCUGCAUGGUGGGGGUUGGAAAGUUUCGGCGGUUGGGGAUGGACUCGCGGCUUAUCAGCUUGUUGGUGGGGUAGUGGCUUACCAAGGCUUUGACGGGUAGCCGGCCUGAGAGGGUGACCGGCCACAUUGGGACUGAGAUACGGCCCAGACGCCUACGGGAGGCAGCAGUGGGGAAUAUUGCACAAUGGGCGGAAGCCUGAUGCAGCAACGCCGCGUGCGGGAUGACGGCCUUCGGGUUGUAAACCUCUUUCGCCUGUGACGAAGCGUGAGUGACGGUAAUGGGUAAAGAAGCACCGGCUAACUACGU